GCCUUGCGGCGUGCUUAACACAUGCAAGUCGAACGGUGAAGCCAAGCUUGCUUGGUGGAUCAGUGGCGAACGGGUGAGUAACACGUGAGCAACCUGCCCUGGACUCUGGGAUAAGCGCUGGAAACGGCGUCUAAUACUGGAUAUGAGCCUCUAUCGCAUGGUGGGGGUUGGAAAGAUUUUUUGGUCUGGGAUGGGCUCGCGGCCUAUCAGCUUGUUGGUGAGGUAAUGGCUCACCAAGGCGUCGACGGGUAGCCGGCCUGAGAGGGUGACCGGCCACACUGGGACUGAGACACGGCCCAGACUCCUACGGGAGGCAGCAGUGGGGAAUAUUGCACAAUGGGCGAAAGCCUGAUGCAGCAACGCCGCGUGAGGGAUGACGGCCUUCGGGUUGUAAACCUCUUUUAGCAGGGAAGAAGCGAAAGUGACGGUACCUGCAGAAAAAGCGCCGGCUAACUACGUGCCAGCAGCCGCGGUAAUACGUAGGGCGCAAGCGUUAUCCGGAAUUAUUGGGCGUAAAGAGCUCGUAGGCGGUUUGUCGCGUCUGCUGUGAAAUCCCGAGGCUCAACCUCGGGCCUGCAGUGGGUACGGGCAGACUAGAGUGCGGUAGGGGAGAUUGGAAUUCCUGGUGUAGCGGUGGAAUGCGCAGAUAUCAGGAGGAACACCGAUGGCGAAGGCAGAUCUCUGGGCCGUAACUGACGCUGAGGAGCGAAAGGGUGGGGAGCAAACAGGCUUAGAUACCCUGGUAGUCCACCCCGUAAACGUUGGGAACUAGUUGUGGGGACCAUUCCACGGUUUCCGUGACGCAGCUAACGCAUUAAGUUCCCCGCCUGGGGAGUACGGCCGCAAGGCUAAAACUCAAAGGAAUUGACGGGGACCCGCACAAGCGGCGGAGCAUGCGGAUUAAUUCGAUGCAACGCGAAGAACCUUACCAAGGCUUGACAUACACCAGAACGGGCCAGAAAUGGUCAACUCUUUGGACACUGGUGAACAGGUGGUGCAU
rnacentral:rRNA from 1 species